rnacentral:tRNA from 1 species
GGGGCCGUAGCUCAGUUGGGAGAGCGCAGCGUUCGCAACGCUGAGGCCGGGGGUUCGACCCCCCCUGGCUCCACCA